rnacentral:tRNA from 1 species
GGUUGUGGCUUAGUGGUAUAGCACUUGCCUAGCAUGGGUACGCCCUGGGUUUGAUUCUCAGCACCA